CCAGCUUAUUGCCAUAGGUAUUAUGCUAGACAAUAAAGUGCCAAGUAUCCUGGGAAGAAACAUCCCACCAGAGUACCCACUGGCGACAAUGCUCCAAUCCAGGACGCUUCUUCGUAAGUAAUUGGUCGAUCAAGCGGGUUUUCUUCUUCCACUGGAUCACUUUGGAGCAUCAGCAAAAUUGGACUCGACCAAACCAUUAUCGCACCGCCUCCCAUCACACAUAAAUUCGCUGAAAUCAUUAUCAUUAUCGUUAAUCACGUUAUGCCAAUACUUAACUGUAGAUUUAAUAAUAUAUAUGAUUAUUAUUUAAAAAAUCGGUGGUUUACAUUCAACCGCUGUCUUGCCAGCAGGUAACGGGUUUUAUUGCGUAAGUUUAAUUUAUCAAUCUUAAAUCAUUACAUAUGUUUCAGGUUUUUUCGUAUAAUUAAAUCAUAGUAUUUUUAGAUAAAGAAAAUAAUGGCUUAUUACUAAUUACUAAUUACAUUCAAGAUUAACAUUUAGUGUAGAUAUUUAUGUGAAUUACCGGUAAUAGCGGCGAUAAAUUGAAGUGCCUUGGAACCUUGAGUGUCUUUGUCGGUCUUCAUUUUGUUGUUAUCGAGGGACUUGUUUAUUGUCAAGGUAGACUUGGACGUCAAAAGAAUAAAUAAAACAUCCAAAGUAGGUUUAACGCCGCGAUAGUUGCAGUUAAAACUGACAGAACGGGCAAUUAUGUCACAAUAAUUUUAGAGUAAUCACACCGGCGAUCUUGAUGAGUAGAUAAGAACAGCACACGCGAAUUAUUUCGAAUGAGGAAGGACUCUGACGGAAGCCAUUCGUUAAAAUAAAUUCAAGCUAACGUUGUUCACAUACGUGAGGACUUACCUUUAGUUUCCGGCAAAAUAAAUACUGUGAACAGGACACUUAGGACGCAGAAAACUCCGAAGAGCCAGAAGGCAGUGUAUUGUCCCCACGCUGCUGCGAUACUGCUGAAGUACUUGGUGAUCAAGAAUCCCAAAAACCAGCAGGCAAAGACAAAUAUCCCCGAGGCCUUGGAUUUAACUUCCGUGGAGAACAUUUCACCCAUAACUGUCCAAGGAAGCGGACCCCAACCGAUGCUUCUGUCAACUACCAGUGGUGUCACACCAGAAGCAAGAAAUUGAACAAUUCCGACAAUUAUCGUCUCGAUUGAAGAAUUGAUUCCGCUGUUACCCGCGCUAGCAAAAAUAUUCUCUGAAUAGAAUAGUAUAUUACACCCCUAGGAAAUUAAAGUAAGAAAUGUCUCAGAUCACAUGUGAUCUCAGGCUUUCUUAUUUACUUCCCGAGGAGUGUAUACUAUUUUUUUCCUCGACGGAGGCGAAAAGCGGCAACUUCGUUUUAAUUGAGCACGGUCGAUGAAACGCGAAUAUGUUUGUUGGAAAUUAUUUUCACUAUUUAAAG